GACGAACGCUGGCGGCGUGCCUAAUACAUGCAAGUCGAACGCAGUGGGGACGGGUGAGUAACACGUGGGUAACCUCCCAUCAGAGGGGAUAACACUUGGAAACAGGUGCUAAACCGAUACUGAUGGAUGGACCCGCGGUGCAUUAGCUAGUUGGUGAGGUAACGGCUCACCAAGGCCACGAUGCAUCGCCGACCUGGAAGGGUGAUCAGCCAGACUGGGACUGAGGCAAGGCCCAGACUCAUACGGGAGGCAGAAGUAAGGAAACUUCGGGCAUAGAAGGAAGUCAGACCGAGCAACGCCGCGUGAGUGAAGAAGGUUUUCGGAUCGUAAAGCUCUGUUGAUAGAGAAGCGGUAACUAACCAGAAAGGGACGGCUAACUACGUGCCAGCAGCCGCGGUAAUAC
rnacentral:rRNA from 1 species